rnacentral:rRNA from 1 species
UACAGAGGUCCCAAGCGUUGUUCGGAUUCAUUGGGCGUAAAGGGUGCGUAGGUGGCGGGGUAAGCCAGGUGUGAAAUCUCGAGGCUCAACCUCGAAACUGCACUUGAUACUGCCUUGCUAGAGUACUGGAGAGGAGAUUGGAAUUUACGGUGUAGCAGUGAAAUGCGUAGAUAUCGUAAGGAAGACCAGUGGCGAAGGCGAAUCUCUGGACAGUUACUGACACUGAGGCACGAAGGCCAGGGGAGCAAACGGG